rnacentral:rRNA from 1 species
GAUGAACGCUAGCUACAGGCUUAACACGUGCAAGUCGAGGGGCAGCAUGACCUAGCAAUAGGUUGAUGGCGACCGGCGCACGGGUGAGUAACACGUAUCCAACCUGCCGAUUAUUCCGGGAUAGCCUUUCGAAAGAAAGAUUAAUACUGGAUAGCAUAACGAGACGGCAUCUUCUUGUUAUUAAAGAAUUUCGAUAAUCGAUGGGGAUGCGUUCCAUUAGUUUGUUGGCGGGGUAACGGCCCACCAAGACAUCGAUGGAUAGGGGUUCUGAGAGGAAGGUCCCCCACAUUGGAACUGAGACACGGUCCAAACUCCUACGGGAGGCAGCAGUGAGGAAUAUUGGUCAAUGGACGAGAGUCUGAACCAGCCAAGUAGCGUGAAGGAUGACUGCCCUAUGGGUUGUAAACUUCUUUUAUAUGGGAAUAAAGUGGGCCACGUGUGGCUUUUUGUAUGUACCAUACGAAUAAGGAUCGGCUAACUCCGUG